rnacentral:rRNA from 1 species
GGGCCCGCACAAGCGGUGGAGCAUGUGGUUUAAUUCGAUGAUACGCGAGGAACCUUACCAGGGCUUAAAUGUAGUCUGACAGGGGUGGAAACACCCCCUCCUUCGGGCAGAUUACAAGGUGCUGCAUGGUUGUCGUCAGCUCGUGCCGUGAGGUGUCAGGUUAAGUCCUAUAACGAGCGCAACCCCCUGCCGUUAGUUGCCAGCAUGUAAUGAUGGGAACUCUAACGGGACUGCCGGUGCAAACCGCGAGGAAGGUGGGGAUGACGUCAAAUCAUCACGGCCCUUACGUCCUGGGCUACACACGUGCUACAAUGGCCGGUACAGAGGCAGCAAGUUCGCGAGGACAAGCAAAUCCAUAAACCGUGGCUC